rnacentral:rRNA from 1 species
AUACGUAGGGAGCGAGCGUUGUCCGGAAUUACUGGGUGUAAAGGGAGCGUAGGCGGGAGUGCAAGUCCGAUGUGAAAUACAUGGGCUCAACCCAUGGGCUGCAUUUGAAACUGCCUUUCUUGAGUGAAGUAGAGGUAAGCGGAAUUCCUGGUGUAGCGGUGAAAUGCGUAGAUAUUAGGAGGAACACCGGUGGCGAAGGCGGCUUACUGGGCUUUUACUGACGCUGAGGCUCGAAAGCGUGGGGAGCAAACAGGAUUAGAUCCCCUGGUAGUCCACGCCGUAAACGAUGAAUACUAGGUGUAGGGGGUAUCGACUCCCUCUGUGCCGCAGUUAACACAAUAAGUAUUCCGCCUGGGGAGUACGACCGCAAGGUUGAAACUCAAAGGAAUUGGCGGGG